UACAGAGGGGGCAAGCGUUGUUCGGAAUUACUGGGCGUAAAGGGCGCGUAGGCGGCCCGCUAAGUCGAACGUGAAAUCCCCAGGCUCAACCUGGGAACUGCGUCCGAUACUGGCAGGCUUGAAUCCGGGAGAGGGAUGUGGAAUUCCAGGUGUAGCGGUGAAAUGCGUAGAUAUCUGGAGGAACACCGGUGGCGAAGGCGGCAUCCUGGACCGGUAUUGACGCUGAGGCGCGAAAGCUGGGGGGGCAAACGGGA
rnacentral:rRNA from 1 species